rnacentral:rRNA from 1 species
UACGUAGGGUGCGAGCGUUAAUCGGAAUUACUGGGCGUAAAGUGUGCGCAGGCGGCUUCGCAAGUCGAGUGUGAAAUCCCCGAGCUUAACUUGGGAAUUGCGCUCGAAACUACGGAGCUGGAGUGUGGCAGAGGAAGGUGGAAUUCCACGUGUAGCGGUGAAAUGCGUAGAGAUGUGGAGGAACACCGGUGGCGAAGGCGGGUCUCUGGGCCGAUACUGACGCUGAGGAGCGAAAGCGUGGGGAGCAAACAGG